UACGUACCGUACGAACGUUAUUCGGAAUUACUGGGCUUAAAGGGUUUGUAGGCGGCCUUGUAAGUCAGGUGUGAAAUCCCUCGGCUCAACCGAGGAAUAGCGCUUGAUACUGCAAGGCUUGAGGGAGACAGGGGUAAGCGGAACUGAUGGUGGAGCGGUGAAAUGCGUUGAUAUCAUCAGGAACACCGGUGGCGAAAGCGGCUUACUGGGUCUCUUCUGACGCUGAGGAACGAAAGCUAGGGUAGGCGAACGGG
rnacentral:rRNA from 1 species